rnacentral:rRNA from 1 species
GAUCCUGGCUCAGGACGAACGCUGGCGGCGUGCCUAAUACAUGCAAGUCGAGCGGACUGAAUGGAAGCUUGCUUCCGUUCGGUUAGCGGCGGACGGGUGAGUAACACGUGGGCAACCUGCCCGUAAGACCGGGAUAACUUCGGGAAACCGGAGCUAAUACCGGAUAACACCGAAGAUCGCAUGAUCUUUGGUUGAAAGGCGGCUUUGGCUGUCACUUACGGAUGGGCCCGCGGCGCAUUAGCUAGUUGGUGAGGUAACGG